CCCCUCUCAGGGUCACACCUGGAGAGUUUUCAGUACUCUACCAGUCUCGACUACAGGAGAGAGAGUCAAGCAGAGGCAUAUCCAUUCCAUUCCUAGCUUGGGCAGAAGCUAGUGAGUAGAAGGUAAUCUUCUACAAGU